rnacentral:rRNA from 1 species
GACGAACGCUGGCGGCGUGCCUAAUACAUGCAAGUAGAACGCACAGUUUAUACCGUAGCUUGCUACACCAUAGACUGUGAGUUGCGAACGGGUGAGUAACGCGUAGGUAACCUACCUGGUAGCGGGGGAUAACUAUUGGAAACGAUAGCUAAUACCGCAUAAUAUUGAUUAUUGCAUGAUAAUUGAUUGAAAGAUGCUAUUGCAUCACUACCAGAUGGACCUGCGUUGUAUUAGCUAGUAGGUGAGGUAACGGCUCACCUAGGCGACGAUACAUAGCCGACCUGAGAGGGUGAUCGGCCACACUGGGACUGAGACGCGGCCCAGACUCCUACGGGAGGCAGCAGUAGGGAAUCUUCGGCAAUGGACGAAAGUCUGACCGAGCAACGCCGCGUGAGUGAAGAAGGUUUUCGGAUCGUAAAGCUCUGUUGUAAGAGAAGAACGGGUGUGAGAGUGGAAAGUUCACACUGUGACGGUAUCUUACCAGAAAGGGACGGCUAACUACGUG